GCAAAAUGUCUCUCUCUGGACGCGACACUUCUCACAAUGCACUGGUAGUAUGGGCAUGCGAAACCAGCAAAGAUCAAGCCAUUAAGGUUGGCAUUACUAUUCACGAUGUACUCAACAGCACUAAUGACAAGCAAAUUAAAGAUGAGUUGAAGCUGUUUUCUUUGCAAAUAUUGCAUACCACUCGUCGAAAUACAUUCUGUGCGAAAGGUCUCACUGUGGGUGCGCCGCUUUUUGCUGCUUUAAUAGGUAACAUCACCUCA